AUCGCUUCUCCGCCUUCUGGCUUCAGAUCAAGUGUAAGUACUUGUUGCUUAUCGUUAAUAUCUGAUACUCCCCCAUCGGGCGACUACAUAUUAAUGGAUUUUUCGAACAGAGAGUCGAAAUGGGCUUGCUCCGUCCGCUCCACGCAUCAGACCGGUAUGCCAUACCUCCGAACGGUCUUGCAACACUU
rnacentral:snRNA from 1 species